GGGUGAUCUGGCUGCAACAUCUGUCACCCCAUUGAUCGCCAGGAUUGACUGAGCUGAUCUGGAUGGCUAUGUGUGUGUGUGUGUGUGUGUGUGUGUGUGUGUUUAUACAUACGUGUAUAUAUAUGGUAUAUAGUAUACUACAUAUACAUAUAUACACACAUAUACACAUAUGUAUAUACACACGUAUAUAUACACCUAUGU
rnacentral:snRNA from 1 species